rnacentral:rRNA from 1 species
AUUAGUGGCGAACGGGUGAGUAACACGUGAGUAACCUGCCCUUGACUCUGGGAUAAGCCUGGGAAACUGGGUCUAAUACCGGAUACGACCAUCUGGCGCAUGUCAUGGUGGUGGAAAGCUUUUGUGGUUUUGGAUGGACUCGCGGCCUAUCAGCUUGUUGGUGGGGUAAUGGCCUACCAAGGCGACGACGGGUAGCCGGCCUGAGAGGGUGACCGGCCACACUGGGACUGAGACACGGCCCAGACUCCUACGGGAGGCAGCAGUGGGGAAUAUUGCACAAUGGGCGCAAGCCUGAUGCAGCGACGCCGCGUGAGGGAUGACGGCCUUCGGGUUGUAAACCUCUUUCAGUAGGGAAGAAGCGAAAGUGACGGUACCUGCAGAAGAAGCGCCGGCUAACUACGUGCCAGCAGCCGCGGUAAUACGUAGGGCGCAAGCGUUAUCCGGAAUUAUUGGGCGUAAAGAGCUCGUAGGCGGUUUGUCGCGUCUGCUGUGAAAGACCGGGGCUCAACUCCGGUUCUGCAGUGGGUACGGGCAGACUAGAGUGCAGUAGGGGAGACUGGAAUUCCUGGUGUAGCGGUGAAAUGCGCAGAUAUCAGGAGGAACACCGAUGGCGAAGGCAGGUCUCUGGGCUGUAACUGACGCUGAGGAGCGAAAGCAUGGGGAGCGAACAGGAUUAGAUA